AUUGAACGCUGGCGGCAGGCCUAACACAUGCAAGUCGAACGAGUGGCGGACGGGUGAGUAAUGUCUGGGAAACUGCCCGAUGGAGGGGGAUAACUACUGGAAACGGUAGCUAAUACCGCAUACCAUCGGAUGUGCCCAGAUGGGAUUAGCUAGUAGGUGGGGUAAUGGCUCACCUAGGCGACGAUCCCUAGCUGGUCUGAGAGGAUGACCGGCCACACGGGAACUGACACACGGUCCAGACUCGUACGGGAGGCAGCAGUGGGGAAUAUUGCACAAUGGGCGCAACCCUGAUGCAGCCAGGCCGGGUGGAUGAAGAAGGCCUUCGGUUUGUAAAGUAUUUUCGGCGGGGAGGCGUUCCCGAAAGAAGAAGCACCGGCUAACGCCGUGCCAGCGGCCGCGGUAAUAC
rnacentral:rRNA from 1 species